rnacentral:rRNA from 1 species
UACGGAAGGGGCUAGCGUUGUUCGGAGUUACGGGGCGUAAAGAGCGCGUAGGCGGCUUACCAAGUUGGGGGUGAAAUCCCGGAGCUCAACUCCGGAACUGCCUUCAAAACUGGUAGGCUCGAGUCCGGAAGAGGGGCGUGGAAUUCCCAGUGUAGAGGUGAAAUUCGUAGAUAUUGGGAAGAACACCGGUGGCGAAGGCGGCGCCCUGGUCCGGUACUGACGCUGAGGCGCGAAAGCGUGGGUAGCGAAUAGG